GGUGAGAUGGUUCAGUGGUUAAGAGCACUGGCUACUCUUCCAGAGGACUCAGGUUCAAUUCCUGGCACCC
rnacentral:tRNA from 1 species